UACAGAGGGUGCAAACGUUGUUCGGAAUUACUGGGCGUAAAGCGAGUGUAGGCGGUGAAGUAAGUCAGAUGUGAGAUCCCACGGCUCAACCAUGGAAGUGCAUUUGAUACUGCUUCGCUUGAGUACUGGAGAGGUUGGUGGAAUUCUUGGUGUAGAGGUGAAAUUCGUAGAUAUCAAGAGGAACACCGGUGGCGAAGGCGGCCAACUGGACAGAUACUGACGCUGAGACUCGAAAGUGCGGGGAGCAAACAGG
rnacentral:rRNA from 1 species